rnacentral:rRNA from 1 species
UCCGGUUGAUCCUGCCAGGAGGCCGCUGCUAUCUGGCUGGGACUAAGCCAUGCUAGUCUAGGGGCUUGUACUCCUUCGGGGGUGCAAGCACCGGCGGACGGCUCAGUAACACGUGGACAACCUGCCCUCGGGAGGGGGAUAACCCCGGGAAACUGGGGCUAAACCCCCAUAGGAGAUGGGUACUGGAAUGUCCCUUCCCCGAAAGCUCCGGCGCCCGAGGAUGGGUCUGCGGCGGAUUAGGUAGUUGGUGGGGUAACGGCCCACCAAGCCUAAGAUCCGUACGGGCUGUGGGAGCGGGAGCCCGGAGAUGGACCCUGAGACAAGGGUCCAGGCCCUACGGGGCGCAGCAGGCGCGAAACCUUCGCAAUGCGGGAAACCGCGACGAGGUCAGCCGGAGUGCCCGUGCAUUGCGCGGGCUGUCCGGGUGCCUAAACAGCACCCGACAGCAAGGGCCGGGCAAGGCCGGUGGCAGCCGCCGCGGUAAUACCGGCGGCCCGAGUGGCGGCCACUCUUAUUGGGCCUAAAGCGUCCGUAGCCGGCCCAGUAAGUCCUCCGGGAAAUCUGGUCGCUCAACGAUCAGACUUCCGGGGGAUACUGCUGG